rnacentral:lncRNA from 1 species
UGUCCGUCUGUUGUCAACAUGUCGUUCAUUAACUCAAAAAAUCUUUAACCAAUUUGCAUUAAACUUUGGGAAAUUGUUUAUAUCUAUUGACGUGAGCUCCCUUUUUUUUUUUUGUGGUUUUUUUUAUAAAUUUUAGAUUUCAAGUUUCUGGGUAAUGGCUUUUUAUUCAAUAAAAUUGGUGGUUUUUUUUUCUAUUUUCUGAUAAUAUCUCAAACAUGCUUUCACAAAGCAAGGAAUUUUGGUGAAUUGUUUAUAUCUAUUACCACGAGGUCACUUUCAAUUUUUAUAAAUUUUAGAUUUUACGUUUCGAUGUAAAAAA